UACGACUCUCGGCAACGGAUAUCUCGGCUCUCGCAUCGAUGAAGAACGUAGCGAAAUGCGAUACUUGGUGUGAAUUGCAGAAUCCCGUGAACCAUCGAGUCUUUGAACGCAAGUUGCGCCCGAGGCCUUCCGGCCGAGGGCACGCCUGCCUGGGCGUCACGC
rnacentral:rRNA from 1 species